rnacentral:rRNA from 1 species
GACGAACGCUGGCGGCGUGCUUAACCCAUGCAAGUCUAACGGAGUGGCGAACGGGUGAGUAACACGUGGGUGAUCUGCCUUGCACUUCUGGAUAAUCUUGGGAAACUGGGUCUAAUACCGGAUAGUGCAAGAUGAGCUCGCGGACUAUCAGUUUGUUGGUUGGGUAAUGGCCUACCAAGGCGUCGACGGGUAGCCGGCCUGAGAGGGUGUACGGCCACAUUGGGACUGAGAAACGGGCCAGACUCCUACGGGAGGGAGCAGUGGGGAAGAUUGCACAAGGGGCGGAAGCCUGAUGCAGCGACGCCGGGUGGGGGAUGAAGGACUUCGGGUUGUAAACUCCUUUCGACAGGGACGCGGUACCUCUAUAAGAAGCACCGGCUAAGUACGUGCCAGCAGCCGCGGUAAGUC